rnacentral:tRNA from 1 species
GCGUGAGCUGGUGCAGGUUCAGCGUGACACCGGUCGCGACGGUGUGACUCCAGCCCACCUUGUCGUUGAAGCCGAUACUGACGAGC